rnacentral:rRNA from 1 species
AGAGUUUGAUCCUGGCUCAGAGCGAACGUUAGCGGCAGGCUUAACACAUGCAAGUCGAGCGAGAAAGGGGCUUCGGCUCCGAGUAAAGCGGCGGACGGGUGCGUAACACGUGGAUAAUCUGCCUCGUGGCGGGGGACAACAGUCCGAAAGGACUGCUAAUACCGCAUGUCAGGUCGGAAACUCCGGUUUCUGACGAAAAAAGAGGGCGUCCGCAAGGAGCUCUCACCACGAGAUGAGUCCGCGUCCCCAUCAGCUAGUUGGCGGUGUAAUGGACCACCAAGGCUUAGACGGGUAGCUGGUCUGAGAGGAUGACCAGCCACACUGGGACUGAGACACGGCCCAGACUCCUACGGGAGGCAGCAGUGGGGAAUAUUGGACAAUGGGCGAAAGCCUGAUCCAGCCAUGCCGCGUGAGUGAUGAAGG